UAUCAUGGUGUACCUUUUGACUUAUUGGUGAACAUUCAAACUGGAAUUGAGCUGGGUGUCUUUAUAAUGUUUAUGGGUAGUGUGUCGUGUACCUGUGUGAUGGCUCAGUACUACUAGAUGGAUACCUGGCAAAGGUUCAGACCAUGGGCAUUAGUGCUUACCUACCAGGAAAGGGAAUAUAUAAAGCUGAUACGAGGGCCGUUAUUGAAUAUUGCACAUCCAAGCAUUAUUCCCUUCCAUGGGCCAUACGGGAGAUUUAUUCUUUUUCAGUAAUGAAUACUUGGGAAGGAAAAAUAAGUACUUGAAAAUUGCUUCCAAAAUUCAAAUUAGCCCAACCCCUAAGUGAACCUUAAGUGGUAACUGUUUUAAAAGGAAGUAGAAAAGUUAUAUCAGUAAAUGUAAAUGAAAUCAACUUUUAUUUUAAAAAACAGUUCUUUUUUGGGGCGCCUGGGUGGCUCAGUCGUUAAGCGUCUGCCUUCGGCUCAGGUCAUGAUCCCAGGGUCCUGGGAUCGAGCCCCGCAUCGGGCUCUCUGCUCCACGGGAAGCCUGCUUCUCUCUCUCUCCCACUCCCCCUGCUUGUGUUCCCUCUCUCGCUGUGUCUCUCUCUGUCAAAGAAAUAAAUAAAAUCUUUAAAAAAUAAUAAAAUAAAAUAAAUAAAAAACUUCUUUUAGAUUAGAUCUUGAAGCAACACUUAAAAUGACUUUAAAGAGACACACCUAAAACAAAUUGAUUCAGAAUAUCUGGGAAAAAAAAAGAUGGGCAAAGGUAUGUCAAAGAAAUGCAAACAAAGGAAAGGAGGGGUUGCACUUCUAAUGUCAGACAAGUUUGGAUUCAAAUGAAAAAGCAUUAAGUAAGAAAAAGGAGAGCAUUGUAAAUAGCUAUUCACACUGAAGUUAAAAUAUAUAUAUGCCAAAAAGAACAUGACUAUCAUCCAUAAGACGAAAACAUUAGGAGAUACAAGGUGGAAUCAACAGAAAUACAUUACUUGUAGGAGACUUUAAUUUCCAUCUUUUAUUUCAUAAGAGGUCACAUAGAAAACAGGGAAGGAUCUAGAUUUCAAUAGCAUAGUCAUCUACCCUGAAACAGAAAACAUACCUUUUCAAGUGCCUGUAGAACACUUAGAAACAUUGCCUAUAAAGAAAUUGGCCACAAAGAAAACCUCAGUAAAUUCCCUGAAGUAGAAAGAGUACAGACCAUACUCUCUAAUCAUGAUGCAAAAAGACUAGAAAUGAAUAGUAAAAAUAGAAAAUGAAAAGACCUGGGGUGCCUGGGUGGCUCAGUUGGUUGAGCAGCUGCCUUUGGCUCAGGUCAUGAUCCCAGAGUCCUGGGAUCGAGGCCCGCAUCGGGCUCCCUGCUCAGCAGGGAGCCUGCUUCUCCCUUUCCCUCUGCCUGCCACUCUGCCUACUUGUGCUCUGUAUCUCUCUGUCAAAUAAAUAAAUAAAAAAUAUCUUUAAAAAAAAAAUGUAAAGACCUUAUAAACUGGACAUUUUAGAACUAUUUCAUAACUCUUGGUUCCAAGAGGAAUUCAAACCCAUUUAUAAGCCUAGAAAUCAUUAUCAACAGUUCUUUACAAUGGUAAUAAGCAAUCCCAGUGCCCAGAUUGUGAUCCAAAAAUACCAUUUCCUGCUAAAAGAAACUAAAAUGUAAAGAAGUGAUUAAUUCCGGGGGCGCCUGGGUGGUUUAGCCCCUUAGGCAUCUGCCUUUGGCUCAGGUCUUGAUCCUAGUGUCCUGGGAUCGAGCGCCACAUCAUGCUCCCUGCUCAGUGGGGAGCCUGCUUCUCCCUCUCCCUCUACCCCCCCCCCCCCCCCACUCAUGCUCAUCCUCACUUGCUCUCUCUGUCUCUCUGCACUCUCUCUCAAAUAAAUAAAGUCUUUAAAAAAAAUUAAUUCCAGGUCUGGGGCAGAAAAGGUAUCAGUGAGUAUGGAACAUUUUGUCAGACCAGAUAGCAAGAACUGCUAAGGAAGUUGUGUCAAAAGGACCACUGGACAAAGACAGGAAAAUUUAAGUAUCACUAAAGGGAAUAAUAGCAGUGGAUCCAAACACAUCAAAUAAUGUUUAAAUCAUGAUUUCAUAAUGACUUCCAAACAAAGCUAAUUGGUCAUGUUUGAAAGAUGCUGGGAAACCAGCCCAUUAUUUGAAAGCUGUCAGAUAAAGUGAAAGGAUCAAGUAUUUAUCCUGCCUUUCCUAUGUAAUCUGUAUCAGAGUACCGUAAUAAUGGAUAAGACAGUUUCUCUUUAAGAGGUAUUCCAACAAAUAAAUGAAGAAGGAUAGGGUUAUAACUCCUGAUGAAUGAAAACACCUAGGCCCUGAAAAUCAAUAAUCACAUAAUAAAAAGGAAAACAGACAUUAUAUGCCUCCUGAUGAAGAACACACUACCACCUUAAAGUGGCCUUACCAAAAUGAUAAAACCUCAAUCUGAUGAAGUUUCUAGAUUCAACUACUGAUUUAUAAGAAAUAGGAGAAUAGGCUCUCUGCUCCUCCCUGUUCGACAGACAGCCGCAUCUUCUGGUGCAGUGCCAGCCACGUCCCUGAGACACAAUGGUGAAGGUCAGAGUGAACGGAUUUGGCCAUAUUGGGUGCCUGAUCACCAGGGCUGCUUUUAACUCUGGCAAAGUGGAUGUUGUUGCCAUCAAUGACCCCUUCAUUGACCUCAAUUACAUGGUCUACAUUUUCCAGUAUGAUUCCACCCAUGGCAAAUUCCACGGCACAGUCAAGGCUGAGAAUGGGAAGCUUGUCAUCAGUGGAAAGUCCAUCUCCCAUCUUCCAGGAGCGAGAUCCCGCCAGCAUCAAAUGGGGUGAUGCUGGUGCUGAGUAUGUUGUGGAGUCCACUGGGGUCUUCACCACCAUGGAGAAGGCUGGGGCUCACUUGAAGGGCAGGGCCAAGAGGGUCAUCAUCUCUGCUCCUUCUGCCAGUGCCCCCAUGUUCAUGAUGGGUGUGAACCAUGAGAAGUAUGACAACUCCCUCGAGAUUGUCAGCACUGCCUCCUGCACCACCAACUGCUUGGCUCCUCUGGCCAAGGUCAUCCAUGACAACUUCGGCAUUGUGGAGGGACUCAUGACCACCAUCCAUGCCACCACUGCCACCCAGAAGACCGUGGACGUCCCCUCUGGGAAGCUGUGGCGCGACGGCCGAGGGGCUGCCCAGAACAUCAUCCCUGCUUCUACUGGCACUGCCAAGGCUGUGGGCAAGGUCAUCCCUGAGCUGAACGGGAAGCUCACUGGUAUGGCCUUCCGUGUCCCCACCCUCAACGUGUCCGUCGUGGAUCUGACCUGUUGCCUGGAGAAAGCUGCCAAAUACAACGACAUCAAGAAGGUGUGAAGCAGGCAUCAGAGGGCCCCCUCAAGGGCAUCCUGGGGUACACUGAGGACCAGGUUGUCUCCUGCGACUUUAACAGUGACACCCACUCCUCCACCUUCGAUGCCGGGGCUGGCAUUGCUUUCAACAACCACUUUGUCAAGCUCAUUUCCUGGUAUGACAAUGAAUUUGGCUACAGCAACCGGGUGGUGGACCUUAUGGUCUACAUGGCCUCCAAGGAGUAAGAGCCCCCUGGACCACCAGCCCCAGCGAGAGCAAGAGGAAGAGAGAGGCCCUCAGCUGCUGGGGAGUCCCUGCCCCAACUUAUCCCCCAAAACACUGAGAAUCUCCCGAGCUCCACCAUUUCCAUCCCAGACCCCCCUGAAGAAGGGGAGGUCAUCAAUAAAGUAUACUGUACCCAGCCAAAAAAAAAAAAAAAAAAGAAAUAGAA